rnacentral:rRNA from 1 species
UACGUAGGGGGCAAGCGUUGUCCGGAUUUAUUGGGCGUAAAGCGCGUGUAGGCGGCCAUGUAGGUCUGACGUGAAAUUCCGAGGCUCAACCUCGGCAGGUCGUUGGAAACCAUAUGGCUAGAGUCCGGAAGAGGAGAGUGGAAUUCCUGGUGUAGCGGUGAAAUGCGCAGAUAUCAGGAGGAACACCCGGUGGCGAAGGCGGAUCUCUGGCG